AUUGAACGCUGGCGGCAUGCUUUACACAUGCAAGUCGAACGGUAACAGGCCGCAAGGUGCUGACGAGUGGCGAACGGGUGAGUAAUGCAUCGGAACGUGCCCAGUCGUGGGGGAUAACGCAGCGAAAGCUGCGCUAAUACCGCAUACGAUCUCUGGAUGAAAGCGGGGGACCGAAAGGCCUCGCGCGAUUGGAGCGGCCGAUGUCAGAUUAGGUAGUUGGUGGGGUAAAGGCUCACCAAGCCAACGAUCUGUAGCUGGUCUGAGAGGACGACCAGCCACACUGGGACUGAGACACGGCCCAGACUCCUACGGGAGGCAGCAGUGGGGAAUUUUGGACAAUGGGCGCAAGCCUGAUCCAGCAAUGCCGCGUGCAGGAAGAAGGCCUUCGGGUUGUAAACUGCUUUUGUACGGAACGAAACGGUCCUGGUUAAUACCUGGGGCUAAUGACGGUACCGUAAGAAUAAGCACCGGCUAACUACGUGCCAGCAGCCGCGGUAACAC
rnacentral:rRNA from 1 species